GAUGAAGAACGUAGCGAAAUGCGAUACUUGGUGUGAAUUGCAGAAUCCCGUGAACCAUCGAGUCUUUGAACGCAAGUUGCGCCCGAAGCCAUUAGGCCGAGGGCACGCUUGCCUGGGCGUCACACGUCGUUGCCCCCCCAUCUACUCCUUCGGGAUUGCGGGGGGCGGAUGAUGGCCUCCCGUGCGCCUCGCCGCGCGGUUGGCAUAAAUGCCAAGUCCUCGGCGACGCACGCCACGACAAUCGGUGGUUGCGAAACCUCGGUUGCCCGUCGUGUGCGGUCGUCGCGCAUCGAGGGCCCGAAAAAAUUGCCGGGUUCCGGCUCGGCUUUCAACGCGACCCCAGGUCAGGCGGGGUUACCCGCUGAAUUUAAGCAUAUCAAUAAGCGGAGGA
rnacentral:misc_RNA from 1 species